UACAGAGGGUGCGAGCGUUAAUCGGAAUUACUGGGCGUAAAGGGCGCGUAGGUGGUUGAUUAAGUCAGAUGUGAAAUCCCUGGGCUUAACCUAGGAAUUGCAUAUGAUACUGAUCAGCUAGAGUACAGAAGAGGGAAGUGGAAUUUCCGGUGUAGCGGUGAAAUGCGUAGAUAUCGGAAGGAACACCAGUGGCGAAGGCGACUUCCUGGUCUGUUACUGACACUGAGGCGCGAAAGCGUGGGGAGCGAACAGG
rnacentral:rRNA from 1 species